rnacentral:rRNA from 1 species
AUGGUUAAGUUAGAAAGGGCGCACGGUGGAUGCCUUGGCACUAGGAGCCGAUGAAGGACGGGACGAACACCGAUAUGCUUCGGGGAGCUGUAAGCAAGCUUUGAUCCGGAGAUUUCCGAAUGGGGAAACCCACUGCUCGUAAUGGAGUAGUAUCCAUACUUGAAUACAUAGAGUAUGAGAAGGCAUACCCGGGGAACUGAAACAUCUAAGUACCCGGAGGAAGAGAAAGCAAAUGCGAUUCCCUGAGUAGCGGCGAGCGAAACGGGAACAGCCCAAACCAAGAGGCUUGCCUCUUGGGGUUGUAGGACACUCUAUACGGAGUUACAAAGGAACGAUAUAAGCGAAGAGGUCUGGAAAGGCCCGCCAAAGAAGGUAACAGCCCUGUAACUGAAAUGUUGUUCUCUCCAGAGUGGAUCCUGAGUACGGCGGAACACGUGAAAUUCCGUCGGAAUCCGGGAGGACCAUCUCCCAAGGCUAAAUACUCCCUAGUGACCGAUAGUGAACCAGUACCGUGAGGGAAAGGUGAAAAGCACCCCGGAAGGGGAGUGAAAUAGAUCCUGAAACCGUGUGCCUACAAGUAGUCAGAGCCCGUUAAAGGGUGAUGGCGUGCCUUUUGUAGAAUGAACCGGCGAGUUACGAUCCCGUGCAAGGUUAAGCAGAAGAUGCGGAGCCGCAGCGAAAGCGAGUCUGAAUAGGGCGCAUGAGUACGUGGUCGUAGACCCGAAACCAGGUGAUCUACCCAUGUCCAGGGUGAAGUUCAGGUAACACUGAAUGGAGGCCCGAACCCACGCACGUUGAAAAGUGCGGGGAUGAGGUGUGGGUAGGGGUGAAAUGCCAAUCGAACCUGGAGAUAGCUGGUUCUCUCCGAAAUAGCUUUAGGGCUAGCCUCAAGGUAAGAGUCUCGGAGGUAGAGCACUGAUUGGACUAGGGGCCCCUACCGGGUUACCGAAUUCAGUCAAACUCCGAAUGCCGAUGACUUAUCCUUGGGAGUCAGACUGCGAGUGAUAAGAUCCGUAGUCGAAAGGGAAACAGCCCAGACCGCCAGCUAAGGUCCCAAAGUAUACGUUAAGUGGAAAAGGAUGUGGAGUUGCUUAGACAACCAGGAUGUUGGCUUAGAAGCAGCCACCAUUUAAAGAGUGCGUAAUAGCUCACUGGUCGAGUGACUCUGCGCCGAAAAUGUACCGGGGCUAAACGUAUCACCGAAGCUGCGGACUGUUCUAACGAACAGUGGUAGGAGAGCGUUCUAAGUGCUGUGAAGUCAGACCGGAAGGACUGGUGGAGCGCUUAGAAGUGAGAAUGCCGGUAUGAGUAGCGAAAGACGGGUGAGAAUCCCGUCCACCGAAUGCCUAAGGUUUCCUGAGGAAGGCUCGUCCGCUCAGGGUUAGUCGGGACCUAAGCCGAGGCCGAAAGGCGUAGGCGAUGGACAACAGGUUGAUAUUCCUGUACCACCUCCUCACCAUUUGAGCAAUGGGGGGACGCAGGAGGAUAGGGUAAGCGCGGUAUUGGAUAUCCGCGUCCAAGCAGUUAGGCUGGGAAAUAGGCAAAUCCGUUUCCCGUGAAGGCUGAGCUGUGAUGGCGAGCGAAAUUUAGUAGCGAAGUUCCUGAUUCCACACUGCCAAGAAAAGCCUCUAGCGAGGUGAGAGGUGCCCGUACCGCAAACCGACACAGGUAGGCGAGGAGAGAAUCCUAAGGUGAUCGAGAGAACUCUCGUUAAGGAACUCGGCAAAAUGACCCCGUAACUUCGGGAGAAGGGGUGCUUCUUAGGGUGUUAAAGCCCCGAGAAGCCGCAGUGAAUAGGCCCAGGCGACUGUUUAGCAAAAACACAGGUCUCUGCGAAGCCGUAAGGCGAAGUAUAGGGGCUGACGCCUGCCCGGUGCUGGAAGGUUAAGAGGAGCGCUUAGCGUAAGCGAAGGUGCGAAUUGAAGCCCCAGUAAACGGCGGCCGUAACUAUAACGGUCCUAAGGUAGCGAAAUUCCUUGUCGGGUAAGUUCCGACCCGCACGAAAGGCGCAACGAUCUGGGCACUGUCUCA